CCUACGGGAGGCAGCAGUGGGGAAUAUUGCGCAAUGGGGGCAACCCUGACGCAGCAACGCCGCGUGAUUGAAGAAGGCCUUCGGGUUGUAAAGAUCUUUAAUCGGGGACGAAUUUUGACGGUACCCGAAGAAUAAGCUCCGGCUAACUACGUGCCAGCAGCCGCGGUAAUACGUAGGGAGCAAGCGUUAUCCGGAUUUACUGGGUGUAAAGGGCGUGUAGGCGGGCAUGCAAGCCAGAAGUGAAAUUUGGGGGCUUAACCCCCAAACUGCUUUUGUAACUGGGAGUCUUGAGUGAAGGAGAGGCAGGCGGAAUUCCCAGUGUAGCGGUGAAAUGCGUAAAUAUAUGUAAGAACACCAGUUGCGAAGGCGGCUUGCUGGGUCGAUACUGACAUUGAGGCACGAAAGCGUGGGGAGCAAACAGGAUUAGAUACCCGUGUAGUC
rnacentral:rRNA from 1 species